GACUCUCCCCGCGCUUCAUUCCGCGGCAGCUGUACAACCGCUUUGCAAGCGCGCGCGGCUAACGGAAAGCGACAAGCAAGGCGCGGCGGGCAAGGCAACUGGCGAUUUCCCCUCGCCCCGCAGGCAGACCCCGCAUACUGCGCGGCACUCUUGUGUUUAGUGAUAGUGACUCAUGUCAUCGUGUGUACUUAAAACAACAAUGUGUCAAUUAUUAUUUUAGUGAUUGGCUUUAUUUACAAAAUAAUGAACUUGGGUGAAAAAUUUUGUGAGUGAAUGUACCUGUGGUAACCUGGUGGAACAGAAAAGGUUUUAACAAUGGCGGACUCGAAUAUGGACACAUUGGACCAUGAGAUGGCUCUAUGCUAUGAAGAUUGUGACAUGGAAAUUUCUCUUACACAGCAGCUUACUGAUAACAAUAACCUUAGUAACAACUUUGAAGAUGGUGGUAAUUCAAUCAUUGCUGAAGAUGAAGAAUAUGAAACUGAAGAUGUAAUUAUUAAAGAAGAAUUUGAAAUUGGAGAAGAAGGUAUUAUGAAUACAAACAGUUUGAGUCAUAGUUUAGAAUGCCUCGAUCCCGGGAUCCCGAUUGUCUAUACAAAAAGACUGGAUGAUAUGACAAUUUUCAAGAAAAAAAUUAAAAAUGAAUCUUUUAGUAAUAUUGUGCAAAAAGUGAUACGUGAAAGUAAACCAAAUCUUAAAAAAACAUUUAAUUUUCUACCUGAACGAAAACCUACGAUCAAUGAACGUCAGUUUUCUAAAUUAGAAAACAAAAUAUUAAAAUUAAAUGAACUGGCUAUAUUAAAUGUAGCCCCGUCUGAAAAUACUGUACUAGAUUUAGUUGAUGAUGUAGAUUCUGUAAAUGUUGUAGAGUCUGUGACUGAACGUAAACCAACCCUCAAUGAACUUCAGUGUUUUAAAUUAGAAGACAAAAGCUUAAAGUCAAAUAAAUUGGCUACAUUAAAUAUAGCCCCGUCUGAAAAUACUCUACUAGAUUUAGUUGAUGAUGUGGAUUCUCUAAAUGUUGUAGAGUCUGUGCCUGAUCGUAAACCUACCCUCAAUGAACUUCAGUGUUUUAAAUUAAAAGACAAAAGCUUGAAGUCAAAUAAUUUGGUUACAUUAAAUAUAGCCCCGUCUGAAAAUACUAUAGAUUUAGUUGAUGAUGUGGAUUCUGUAAAUGUUGUAAAGUCUGUGCAUUCUGAUGAUUCAGAAGAGGACAUGCCUUUAAAGGUACUGUCUUCAAUAAAGACGGAAUAUGUUGACCUGACAGUGAUGGAUAAACAUGUUAAAAAAGAUACAAAUGAGCUUUUGAAAUUAUGUAAAACAUGCUGCGUACCGUUGUUAGCAAAUCGUAACGUUAGUUAUAUUAAUGGAAAGCCCUUUCUUAUAUACGGUUGCACCAAGAAGGCAUUCAUAAAAGGAUUAAGAUACACCGCGGGCGUUGAUUUUACAUACAUAUCAUUCAGAAAUUUCAAAAAGAAUAAAUCACAAGUGUACAAAUUCGAAAAAAAAGCAUUGGUUCAUAGAGAAUAUGAUCAUAUAGUAGCUCUUGGGUUGAAUGUAGAUGAAUGUUGUUAUAAUAAUAGGGAAAACGUUAUUAAAAGUUUGAUUUGUCCUAGUAACAUGACACCAGAUCUCUUGCGAAUCCCGCAUCGUUGUCCAAAGGAUCAAUGCAAGUGUUGUUGCAAACCUAUAGCCAAUUAUCCAGAAAAAAUUACACCAACAUCUUCAGGUUCUUCAGGUGGUUUUGGGCUGACAUUUUAUAAGUUUGUUGAGACGAAAAGAAAAAAUGGAACUGGUCACCUGAAUGCUAAUAAACCUAAUAAUACUAUGAACCAGCCAGAAAAAAAUGACUUGGAAGCAAUAUUACCGAAAGACUUUGACUAUAUCCAUAAAGCUUUAAGUUACACUCCCAAAAGUUACAAUGACUCUUCGAAUGAAAAAGAAAUAACAGACUUACCGGACGUAGAUGACCGUUUAGGAAUUAAAGUUCUCAAGGACUACAGUGAAAUGGUCGAGUUUUAUAAAUUUACAUUAAAUGGCAAAAAUGUCAAAUAUAUUCAAAUGGAUUCACUUGUACGAAAUGUAAAAAAUAAUAGCUUUAGAAAUGAUAUUAAAGAAUGUACUCGAAGUGAUAUAGUUUUAUGUUGCUGGCACAAGUGUGAUGAGUUAAUUCGGUCUUUUGAUUUAAAGCGCAUACCUACAGUAAGGCAAUUUGUCAGGACACGCCAUCCUUGUCCUCCAGAUAAUUGCAUCUGCUGUUGUAAGCCGAAUUUACCUCAGCCCGUCCACAAAGAGGAACCCUUAAAACCUGCUUCAAAUCAUGCUACUAACUACACGAGUAUGAUUAAGAAACGUUGCAAAUUUCUUGCCAAACGUGAAGAAUCGAAGCCAAACCAAAUAUUACAAGAAAAUAAUCUAUACGAUUACGAGAGCAUAAUAUUACCACAACUGGUAUCACAGCACAGACCAAAGCAAACACUAUCAAGUCCAAAUACUCCUUUACAAUCAAGGGAACCUACUCAAUCUGCUCUCAAUAUGCCUCGAAACAAUAAUACGGCUGCAACUAUUUAUCCGAAUCUGCCUCAAAUCAAUAAUACGGCUGCAACAAUUUAUCCGAACCUGCCUCAAAUCAAUAAUACGGCUGCAACCAUUUAUCCGAAUCUGCCUCAAAUCAACAAUACGGGUGCAACAAUUAAUCAGAAUCUGCCUCAAAUCAACAAUGCGGGUGCAACAAUUAAUCCGAAUCUGCCUCAAAUCAACAAUACGGGUGCAACAAUUACUACGAAUCUGCCUCAAAUAACUUAUACGAUUGCAACAACUAAGCCGAAUAUGCCUAAAAUGAAUAAAAGAUUAGAUCCAACUAAUAACCCAAGCGUGUCUCUAGAUAAUAACACAUCUGACUCAACAGUUAACUUAUUGGUGAACAGCAUUUUACAAAGGUUCAGUGAUGUCCGCUUAACUAUUACUCCUGAUGGUAAUGUUACUGCGGAACUAAAUACACCAGUUCACACGUUAUCAACAAUGGAACUACAAAUUCUGUCUAGUAUACUUAAUCGCGCCAAACAACAAGUAGCACAACUAAAAGCAAAAGGACAUUGGAAUCCCGAAGCGAACACUCAAAUAAAUCCCAUCGGGCCGAUGAAUCUUGCAAAUCUUAGCGAUAACACAGCACCAGCAACAACUCCAGACAAAACUAAGUCAAAAGCAAGUGUGACAGAACAUACAACAAAAACAAAUAAUGUAUCAAGAACAAAAGUAGCUGCCCCUAGCUUGAAUAAAAAGACAUAU